UGAGAUCAUGAUUUUGUCAGCUGACGAGUCCUAAAUAGGACGAAACUCUCG
rnacentral:hammerhead_ribozyme from 11 species